rnacentral:rRNA from 1 species
UACAGAGGGUGCGAGCGUUGUCCGGAAUCACUGGGCGUAAAGGGCGCGUAGGUGGUGGCUUAAGCGUGCGGUGAAAGCUCGGGGCUCAACUCCGAGUCGGCCGUGCGAACUGGGCUCACUGGAGCAUAGUAGAGGCAGGUGGAAUUCCGGGUGUAGCGGUGGAAUGCGUAGAGAUCCGGAAGAACACCGGUGGCGAAGGCGGCCUGCUGGGCAGUGGCUGACACUGAGGCGCGACAGCGUGGGGAGCAAACAGG